rnacentral:sRNA from 1 species
ACCAGGCAUGGUGGUGCACGCCUGUAAUCCCAGCAGCUCUGGAGGCUGAGGCAGGAGGAUCAUGAGUUCAAAGCCGGCCUCAGCAACUUAGUGAGGCACUUAGCGACUCAGCAAGAUCCUGUCUCUA